UGGGGCAUGGUUCAGUGGUAGAGCGCAUGCUUAGCAUGCAGGAGACGUUGGGUUCAUCUCCCCCAA
rnacentral:tRNA from 1 species